GGCGAGUUUGAUCAUGGCUCAGAACGAACGCUGGCGGCAUGCCUAACACAUGCAAGUCGAACGCCUAUAGCAAUAUAGGAGUGGCGCACGGGUGAGUAACGCGUGGGAACCUGCCCCGAGGUGGGGGAUAACCGAUGGAAACGUCGGCUAAUACCGCAUACGACCUGAGGGUGAAAGAUUUAUCGCCUUGGGAGGGGCCCGCGUCGGAUUAGCUAGUUGGUGGGGUAACGGCCUACCAAGGCGAUGAUCCGUAGCUGGUCUGAGAGGAUGAUCAGCCACACUGGGACUGAGACACGGCCCAGACUCCUACGGGAGGCAGCAGUGGGGAAUAUUGGACAAUGGGCGCAAGCCUGAUCCAGCAAUGCCGCGUGAGUGAUGAAGGCCUUAGGGUUGUAAAGUCCUUUCGGCGGGGAAGAUAAUGACGGUACCCGCAGAAGAAGCCCCGGCUAACUUCGUGCCAGCAGCCGCGGUAAAAAGU
rnacentral:rRNA from 1 species